AUGAACGCAGCCAGGUGGGGCACGGCUGUCCUCCCAGCUGUUGGGAGGCCGAGGCAGGAGGAUCGCUUCGAGUCCAGCGAGCUCUUGCACGCAUGUUGGAACGAGAUCAGGCUAUGCGGAAGGUGGUGUGGCCCUGGAGGGGGAGCCUGGGAGGUUUGGGCCCGCAGUGGGAUGGGGGGCAGAACACAGGUCCUCCAAAGAAUGACGGAGGCCACCAGGAGAGCUUGGAGAAGACAAAGCCAGGGAACCACAGGCCACUCGGGAGCACAGGCCGUACCUGGGGAACCUUGCCAAUCUGUCCCCAACUUCGCCCCAGCGGGACGGGAAGAACCUGCAGUCCGCUGCCCCCGCAGCAACCGGCCCAGCAGGAGGGGCCCAGGCGCCUCCUUCCCCAGCGCAACCUACGGAAUCCGGCAGGAAUUCGGGCCUCCCAGAUGUAAGAAAACAAACAAAGGAAAGAUUGUCAGAGCCGGGCCGCCGCUGCCCCGCGCUCCCAGCCGGGCUGGGUCCCGGGUGGUCAGGGCCCCGGUGAGAACUUGGUGUCCCGGGUGGGGGCCCGGCGCGCGUGGGCAGGGAGGGACGGGGCGCCUCUUCCAAGCAGUCACCCGGCCUGGCUCGGCUUCCCCGGGUCCAGGAAUUAUUUAUUCGAGAGGCAAGGAUGCCGGCCACAAAAGCGGAGGACACCGGAGAGCAGCAGCCAGCAUGCCGCCUCCGCCUCCCUGUCCGGUCUCUCCCCUACGCCCCUCUCAGAACUCGGAGCCUGCCGUCAGCCCCAGGGAAUGGUGACGAUGCCCAGCUUUUCUGAUGUUUCCUGCAACCAAGGACACACUGUAUUGUGCUGAGCACCCAGCCUCCUGGAGACCCAGCCAGACGUACCUGACCCAGAUGCCCAACUUAAGAAGGCACAGGAGUGGAAAGAUAAAUAUCCAUCGGCACUCCAUGGCCAAUCCUGUGGAGUGUUCUCACCUCACCUUAGUCACUCUCUCACCACUGGGACACACUAUCUGACACUCAUUGCUUAAAGGAGGACAGGUUUAUUGUGGCUCACAGUUUCGAGCCCUGGUUGAUUGGCUCCAAGGUAGGACAACACAACUGAGGGGCCCAGCGGAAGAGAGCUGCUCACCUCAUGGUGCACAGGAAACUGAGUGAAGGGAAGCACUGGGGAGGAAGGCAAACCCUUUCAGGCCACGCCCCCAAGACCCGCCCCUUCCGGCCAGGCCCAGAGUCCUAACAGUGAAUCUAGCUCGGGUCACGCAAUCACCUUGGGUCAUGCAAUCACCUUGCGGAGGUCUGGCCUAUGGACCUGAGG
rnacentral:lncRNA from 1 species